rnacentral:rRNA from 1 species
AGGACGAACGCUGGCGGCGUGCUUAACACAUGCAAGUCGAGCGGUAAGGCCCUUUCGGGGGUACACGAGCGGCGAACGGGUGAGUAACACGUGAGCAAUCUGCCCUUCACUUCGGGAUAAGCCUCGGAAACGGGGUCUAAUACCGGAUAUGACUGCGCCAUGCAUGUGGUGUGGUGGAAAGUUCUGGCGGUGAGGGAUGAGCUCGCGGCCUAUCAGCUUGUUGGUGGGGUAAUGGCCUACCAAGGCUUCGACGGGUAGCCGGCCUGAGAGGGUGACCGGCCACACUGGGACUGAGACACGGCCAGACUCCUACGGGAGGCAGCAGUGGGGAAUAGUUGGACAAGUGGGCGAAAGCCUAGACUCCGAGCAACGCCGCGUGAGGAUGACGG